rnacentral:sRNA from 1 species
AGGCUGGUCUCGAACUCCUGACCUUGUGAUCCGCCCGCCUGGGCCUCCCAAACUGCUGGGAUUACAGGCAUGAGCCACCGCGCCCAGCCUCCUCUGCCCCUUUUUAUAAAAAAUAAUUUUAAAAUUACUUUGCCAUGAAAGCUAACAGUAGAUUGUCCAUGUUAUUAGCUCUUUUCCAAAUAGAAUCUAGAUUGGAUGUAAGAAUUCCUUUUUUUUUUUUUAUUGCUAACCAGCUUCAGCUGAUCAAAUUCAAAUGCAACUAUUCUACCCGCUAUCAUUUCUUCAUGCUUGCUGUCAAUUAAGGCUUUGAUCGUGGCAGGUUGUCAUGCAGGUCGCUUGCCUUUAUUGCCAGAUUUUAGGGUGAUAUGAAUUCCUUGUGGCCCUAGACAUUUGACCUUUAAUAGGUCUGAAUUAAGAGAUGACUGGGCAGAGUGUGGAGUAAGGCUGCUGUUGUCUAGCCUACUGCAUAGCAGUAAUCUCCUUUUGCCAUCUGGUGGAGAUGACCUCAGUCUUUUCUUGGUUGAAUUCUGCAGGUUUAAAGCAAUGUUGUGGAUGUGUGAAGAGUUUCCCCUCUCUCUGGUGGAGCAGGUCAUUCCCAUCAUUGACCUAAUGGCUCGAACGAGUGCUCAUUUUGCAAGACUGAGAGAUUUCAUCAAAUUGGAAUUCCCACCUGGAUUUCCUGUCAAAAUAGAAAUUCCCUUGUUUCAUGUCUUAAAUGCACGGAUUACAUUUGGAAAUGUUAAUGGCUGUAGCACUGCUGAAGAAUCUGUAUCUCAAAAUGUGGAAGGGACCCAGGCUGAUUCAGCUUCCCACAUCACAAACUUUGAGGUUGAUCAAUCUGUGUUUGAAAUUCCCGAAUCUUACUAUGUUCAAGACAAUGGCAGAAAUGUGCAUUUGCAAGAUGAAGAUUAUGAGAUAAUGCAGUUUGCCAUCCAGCAAAGUCUGCUGGAGUCCAGCAGGAGCCAGGAACUUUCAGGACCAGCUUCGAAUGGAGGGAUCAGCCAGACGAACACCUAUGACGCCCAGUAUGAGAGG